GAUACUUAAUCAUCAAGUUGAAAUCGACGUUAACAUGAUAUGUAUAGCAAAACCGAGUUCAGGGUUUGGUGAUGUAAUUUUUAUUAAAAUACCCAUAUCCAACGGUCGAGAUGACUGUUUGCAGAAAAGAAAAACAUACUUCCUAUGUUUUAAAAGAUAACUUGGAGUACGGUGUAAACUCUUCUACCUUGAGUUUGAUGUCUACUGAGAACAAAAUUACUAUUAUUUGGCUAGUUUGAAUUUGAGUUUCGCCCUAAACAAUUUACAUGGUAUUCCAGUAAUAGAUGAUCUAGCUAUCCUUUAGCAGUAGUUAGAAGGCAACACAAAGUCGGGUCAGACAUGUGUAGUAUUCCACUAAAUAUUUUUUUUCCAGGACUAAUCGAAUAAGGCAUAUAUAUGAAAAAAUAUAUUAACUU